rnacentral:tRNA from 2 species
GGAGACAUAGCUCAGUUGGUCAGAGCGCACGCUUCACAUGCGUGAGGUCGCGGGUUCGAGCCCCUCUGCCUCCACCA